UGGGGAAUAUUGGACAAUGGGGGAAACCCUGAUCCAGCAAUGCCGCGUGAGUGAAGAAGGCCUUAGGGUUGUAAAGCUCUUUCGCCCGCGAAGAUAAUGACGGUAGCGGGAGAAGAAGCCCCGGCUAACUCCGUGCCAGCAGCCGCGGUAAUACGGAGGGGGCUAGCGUUGUUCGGAAUUACUGGGCGUAAAGCGUACGUAGGCGGAUGCGCAAGUUGGGGGUGAAAUCCCGGGGCUUAACCUCGGAAUUGCCCUCAAAACUGCACGUCUUGAGACCGAGAGAGGUAUGGGGAAUUCCUAGUGUAGAGGUGAAAUUCGUAGAUAUUAGGAAGAACACCAGUGGCGAAGGCGCCUUACUGGCUCGGUACUGACGCUGAGGUACGAAAGCGUGGGGAGCAAACA
rnacentral:rRNA from 1 species